UACGGAGGGGGCUAGCGUUGUUCGGAUUUACUGGGCGUAAAGGGUGCGUAGGCGGAUGUCCGCGUCAGAGGUGAAAGCCCCGGGCUCAACCUGGGAACUGCCUUUGAAACGGGACAUCUUGAGUUCGGGGGAGGGUAGCGGAAUUCCCAGUGUAGAGGUGAAAUUCGUAGAUAUUGGGAAGAACACCGGUGGCGAAGGCGGCUACCUGGCCCGAUACUGACGCUGAGGCGCGAAAGCGUGGGGAGCAAACAGGAUUAGAUACCCCCGUAGUCC
rnacentral:rRNA from 1 species